AAAGCUGGGGGAGGCGCUCCGGGAUACUGAGGGCGGAGGGCGGUGGCAGCGCUGGCGCUGGGGACCGGCUUGGUGGCUUCGGGAAACAGUUUGGCGCCGGCGGCCGUCCGUGUUACUCCGCAUCCCGCCCCGUCUCGGCACGGCUAGCAGCCCCCCUGGCCACCAGCGUCCAGCAAUGUGUCUCACCGGCCGGGCGUAGCAGCUGCGCGUGCGCGGAACCGCGGGGCCAUGAGCGAAGCCGGCGGCCGGGGCUGUGGGUCCCCGGUUCCCCAGCGAGCGCGAUGGAGCCUAGUGGCGGCGACGGCCGCGUUCUGCCUGGUGUCGGCCACCUCCGUGUGGACGGCGGGGGCCGAGCCCAUGAGUAGGGAGGAGAAACAGAAGCUUGGGAACAUGCUUACCCUGCUGAUGAACUCAUGCCUUUAACCUGUAGAGGUCGAGUUAGAGGCCAAGAGCCAAGUCGCGGUGACGUUGAUGAUGCCUUGGGAAAAUUUUCUCUGACACUGAUUGAUUCUUUGGACACUCUUGUGGUUUUAAAUAAAACUAAAGAAUUUGAAGAUGCAGUGAGAAAAGUUUUAAGAGAUGUUAAUUUAGAUAACGAUGUAGUCGUAUCAGUCUUUGAAACAAACAUCAGAGUUCUUGGGGGUCUUUUGGGUGGGCACUCCCUGGCAAUCAUGCUGAAAGAAAAAGGUGAAUAUAUGCAGUGGUACAAUGAUGAACUUCUCCAAAUGGCAAAGCAGUUAGGUUACAAACUUUUACCGGCUUUCAACACUACCAGUGGCCUUCCUUAUCCAAGAAUUAAUUUAAAGUUUGGCAUCAGAAAACCAGAAGCUCGGACAGGAACUGAGACAGAUACCUGUACAGCUUGUGCAGGUACCUUGAUCCUUGAAUUUGCUGCUUUAAGUCGAUUCACAGGAGCAACAAUAUUUGAGGAAUAUGCCAGAAAAGCUCUUGAUUUUCUCUGGGAAAAAAGACAGCGAAGUAGUAAUUUAGUGGGCGUGACUAUAAAUAUUCAUACUGGAGAUUGGGUACGAAAAGAUAGUGGAGUUGGAGCAGGGAUUGAUUCAUAUUAUGAAUAUCUGUUGAAAGCCUAUGUCUUGCUUGGAGAUGACAGUUUUCUGGAAAGAUUUAACACAGUAAGUUGAUACAAUUUUAUAUUUUAUAAUCAACUUCAUUUGAGUCCAAAUUUUUAUAGAAACUCCAUUACCUGAAUGACAUUGUAAAAAUAAUUUUUAAAAUGUGUAGUGGUUUUGUGUCAGUAUUUCCUGAUGAUGUUGAACAAGGACAGCGUAAAAAGUGAUAUACAUUCCAAAAAAUCAGUUGAUAAAGUAGUUUUAUUUUCACCUUUUAUCAGAAACUUUGCAGAUCUGCCAAUAAGAGAUGUAAUAGAUUUGAGUUUUACCUAAUCUUGUUUGUACAAGGAUAAGAAUUAUUGAAAUAUGUUACUAGUUAGCUUUUUCCUUUGUAUUUCAAUUCUUUUUGAAAUCUUGGAAGUUUGGCUUAGUCUUUGAUUACAUCAAGGAUACAGGGCUUUGAAGACCUGGAGAAACUAGUGAGUAUUCAUUUCAAAAGCAAGUCUUAAGACUGGUUCAGAACCACAAGCAUGUUUUUUGGGAAAAGUGGGAGGAUUAUUGAACCCAAUUGAAUCACCUUUUUAACUGAAGCAAACUGAAAUGAAUAUAGCAAACUCAUCAGUUAUAUCACUAUAUUCUUUUUAAACUAAUCUACCAUUUCUUUGCUCACCUAUCAGUUCAUCCAUGUUGUAUGUAUGAGACAGUAUGACAUGGUGAUUAAAAG
rnacentral:sRNA from 1 species